AAUAUAUGGCCAUGACCAUGAGGAAUAGCUAGAAGCUACAACUAACUAGCUAGCAACUACCGUGGAAGCAGCGUUAUAGAAACAUAUAAGAAUGAUUUUUUAAAUACGAAUUAGGGAAAUUUUAAAAAAACUGCAGCUAUAUAUAUAUUGAGAAUCUGCAAGACUCAGUUCCAAUUAUUAAAAGAGAAGAGCAACAAAUCACGAGAGAAAACAAAGCCAUACAAUUUUUUUUCUUUGAGACACUGAGAAGAUGUCUUCACAGCAGAAGAACACAAAUUCAUCAUCCUCCACUCAAUCUUCCCUCCCCGACGGCGCCACCACCGGAGAAAACAACGUUAACCGUGAAAAGACAGUGACCCAACAGCCCAACUCCGUUGCUGAUCCGUUGCACCACCAUCGUCACAGCCUUGCUAAAGUUAUAGCGUUACGUCCAAGGAAGUUCACGGAUGCGUUCAUGGAGACGCAGUUCAGAUGUGAAGUGUGCGGCGAAAGAUUUACAAGAGAAGAGGAUCGAAAUAUUCACAGGAGUGGACACUACAAUAAUCCAUUUAGGAGAUAAAACUGAUCGGAGAAGUGGAAAUGCGAGUAAUGCUAUACGAUGUUACAAAUCUGUCUGCAAAAACUAUCUCUAAGACUUUGUGAUCCCAUGAUAUUACCAUCUUUUCUAUUAAAACUAUGUUACCGUCUUUCUUAGUUUCUUUCAAUAAUAUUUGUUUCCUUUGAUAA